AUUGAACGCUGGCGGCAGGCCUAACACAUGCAAGUCGAACGGUAACAGGGAUCAGCUUGCUGCUUCGCUGACGAGUGGCGGACGGGUGAGUAAUGUCUGGGAAACUGCCUGAUGGAGGGGGAUAACUACUGGAAACGGUCGCUAAUACCGCAUAACGUCGCAAGACCAAAGAGGGGGACCUUCGGGCCUCUUGCCAUCGGAUGUGCCCAGAUGGGAUUAGCUAGUAGGUGGGGUAACGGCUCACCUAGGCGACGAUCCCUAGCUGGUCUGAGAGGAUGACCAGCCACACUGGAACUGAGACACGGUCCAGACUCCUACGGGAGGCAGCAGUGGGGAAUAUUGGACAAUGGGCGCAAGCCUGAUGCAGCCAUGCCGCGUGUAUGAAGAAGGCCUUCGGGUUGUAAAGUACUUUCAGCGGGGAGGAAGGGAGUAAAGUUAAUACCUUUGCGCAUUGACGUUACCCGAAGAAGAAGCACCGGCUAACUCCGUG
rnacentral:rRNA from 1 species